rnacentral:rRNA from 1 species
GGGGAAUCUUGCGCAAUGGACGAAAGCCUGACGCAGCAACGCCGCGUGGGGGACGAAGGCUCUCGGGUUGUAAACCCCUUUCAGCAGGAACGAAAUUGACGGUACCUGCAGAAGAAGCCCCGGCCAACUACGUGCCAGCAGCCGCGGUAAUACGUAGGGGGCGAGCGUUGUCCGGAUUCAUUGGGCGUAAAGAGCUCGUAGGCGGUUUCGUAAGUCGGGUGUGAAAACCCCAGGCUCAACCUGGGGACGCCACCUGAUACUGCGAUGACUUGAGUCUGGUAGGGGACCACGGAAUUCCUGGUGUAGCGGUGAAAUGCGCAGAUAUCAGGAGGAACACCGGUGGCGAAGGCGGUGGUCUGGGCCAGUACUGACGCUGAGGAGCGAAAGCGUGGGUAGCAAAC